rnacentral:tRNA from 1 species
GCGAGAGUGGCGGAAUUGGCAGACGCGCUGGACUUAGGAUCCAGUGGGGCGACCCAUGGGGGUUCGAGUCCCCCCUCUCGCA